UCGGAUUAAAUUUCACAGUGAAAACAGAUGUCAAGUUUAACUAGUAAAUUUCGGUCUGUAAGCAAACACCUAGAAAGAAUGUUCAGCUAGAAAAGUGGUUUAGUGAAAACACAACCUAUGUUAUCUUAUGCCAAAGGUGUGACCUCAAGUGUUGUACUUAGAUAGAGCAACUGUUCAUUAGAUGGCGUUUAAAAACGGCGUGGUUCAUCAGUUUUACUCAGCCAAUAGACGGAUAUCUUUAGUCCAGUGCUCUCCAGAGGCGCUAGCGGUCGGCGUUUUCGCCGGCUACUCGCGUCUCAAGCGCCGGCUACUUUGGUCAGAUAAAACUUCAGAAAAUGAUUCUUUCUUUUGGUAAGAGAAUGUCGAGCGUAGCUUGAAUUUGCGCUUAGAAAACAGUAAGCGAACAUGACAGAUAAGAACGUAAAAUGUACGUGAAGUUACUCAAAGACAUAGAGUAGCAUUUUUAAAAGUGCAUUGGCUGAAAGCUGUCAACGUAGACUACAACUCUGGCGUGAUUCUGUUCCGAUUUUCUCAGCGUAUUUCGUAAAUUCCAUCGUGCGAGUUCGUCUCUUGAAGAGCACGUGGUGCGAGCAACUUAUAGCGUACCCAGUGAGAAAGUUCUCUGCAAUCAAGAAUAUCAAAGCGGAAAUCAGUGGAAAAUCAAAAUGAUGGAGAGAAGGCUAGAGAAAAAAUAACAAGCUUCUUUGUUUCGAGAGAGUGUACAGAAAUCGCUCAGCUACAAACACCGCUAAUGGUAAACAAGUGGCAAUCAAGAAACUCUCAAGACCUUUCAAAACCACAAUGUAUGCAAAGAGAUCCUUCAGGGAACUGAAACUUCUUCGUCAUAUGAAUCAUGAAAAUGUUAUUGGUUUGCUUGAUGUCUUUACUCCUAAUACUUCAUUUGAAAGUUUUCAAGAUGUAUAUAUGGUAACUGCUCUGAUGGGAUUUGAUCUGGACAGCUUUCUUAAGCGUCAGAAACUCACUGAUGAACACAUUCAGUUUUUUGUUUAUCAGAUACUGAGAGGGCUUAAG